AUGAUAGGUCGGUACGAAGCCAGCAUGCAUAGCAUCUGCAUGCAUGCACGCAACCAAACGCGGCUACGCGACGGCGGCCGGGACGAAGGGAGUGGCGAGGAGCAUCAGCGGCGUGCGGCGGCGCACGCCGAGGCCGGGGGCCUCCUCCAUGUCGACCUCGGCCACGCCCUCCGGCAGCGACCAGUCGAAGUGGUAGAGGAGGCCGACGAGGGCGAGCUCCAUGCUGGCCAGCCCGUAGUUGAAGCCGGGGCACAUCCUGCGUCCCGCGCCGAACGGGAGGAACUCGUAGCUGCUGCCGGUGAAGUCCACGGCGCCGUCCUCGAACCGCUCCGGCCGGAACUCCUCGGCGGCCUCCCAGUACCUGGGGUCCCGCCCGAUGGCCCAGGCGUUGAUGACCACGCGCGACUUGGCCGGCACCGUGUACCCCUCCACCUCGCAGUGGUCGAUGCUCUCCCGGGGCACCAGCAGCGGCGCCGGCGGGUGCAGCCGGAGCGCCUCCUUGAUCACCAGCUUGAGGUACUGCAGGUUGCUCGCCUGCAGGUCGGCCUCCGUCACGGCCGCCUUCCCCUUGAACGCCUCCCGGAUCUGGGCCUGCAGCUUCUUCAUCACACGCGGGUUGCGCAUCAGCUCCGACAUCCCCCACUCCAUGGCCGACGCCGACGUCCCCGUGCCGCCCGCGAACAUGUCCAGGAUGAUGGCCUUCAUCCUGCUGUCGUCGAGGUGGAACCCGAAGCCGCCCUUCUCCUGCAGCCCGAUGAGCACGUCCACCAGGUUCUCGUCCACGUUCUCGGCGCCGGCCUUGAUCUUGUCGGCGCGGGCGGCCUUCCUCUCGGCGAUGAUCUCCUCAAGGAUGGCGUCCACGGUGGUGUAGAUGCCCUGGAGGCUGCGCUUCAUGCCGGUGACCGUGGCGAGCAUGGUGGCCGACGCCGGACUUGA
rnacentral:rRNA from 1 species